UACGUAGGGUGCAAGCGUUAAUCGGAAUUACUGGGCGUAAAGCGCACGUAGGCGGCUUGGUAUGUCGGGUGUGAAAUCCCCGGGCUCAACCUGGGAACUGCAUCCGGAAACUGCCUUGCUCGAGUAUGGGAGAGGGAAGUGGAAUUUCCGGUGUAGCGGUGAAAUGCGUAGAUAUCGGAAGGAACAUCAGUGGCGAAGGCGACUUCCUGGACCAAUACUGACGCUCAGGUGCGAAAGCGUGGGGAGCAAACAGGG
rnacentral:rRNA from 1 species